rnacentral:rRNA from 1 species
CCUACGGGAGGCAGCAGUAAGGAAUAUUGGUCAAUGGACGCAAGUCUGAACCAGCCAUGCCGCGUGAAGGAUGAAGGCCCUCUGGGUUGUAAACUUCUUUUAUCUGGGACGAAAAAAGGGCUUUCUAGCUCACUUGACGGUACCAGAGGAAUAAGCACCGGCUAACUCCGUGCCAGCAGCCGCGGUAAUACGGAGGGUGCAAGCGUUAUCCGGAUUUACUGGGUUUAAAGGGUGCGUAGGUGGGUAAGUAAGUCAGUGGUGAAAUCUCCGAGCUUAACUCGGAAACUGCCAUUGAUACUAUUUGUCUUGAAUUAUCUGGAGGUAAGCGGAAUAUGUCAUGUAGCGGUGAAAUGCUUAGAUAUGACAUAGAACACCGAUUGCGAAGGCAGCUUACUACGGAUAUAUUGACACUGAGGCACGAAAGCGUGGGGAUCAAACAGGAUUAGAUACCCUGGUAGUCCACGCCCUAAACGAUGGAUACUCGACAUCAGCGAUACACUGUUGGUGUCUGAGCGAAAGCAUUAAGUAUCCCACCUGGGAAGUACGACCGCAAGGUUGAAACUCAAAGGAAUUGACGGCNGAGAGNGCGAGACGACACGAGGGAGGAGG